CUACGGGCGGCUGCAGUGGGGAAUUUUGCGCAAUGGGGGAAACCCUGACGCAGCAAUACCGCGUGAGUGAAGAAGGCCUUUGGGUCGUAAAGCUCUUUUCUUGGGGAAGAUAGUGACGGUACCCAAGGAAUAAGCACCGGCUAACUCCGUGCCAGCAGCCGCGGUAAUACGGAGGGUGCAAGCGUUGUUCGGAUUUACUGGGCGUAAAGGGCACGUAGGCGGCACAGCAAGCUAAGGGUGAAAUCCCGGGGCUCAACUCCGGAACUGCUCUUAAAACUGCUGAGCUAGAGAUAGUCAGAGGCGGGUGGAAUUCCAGGUGUAGAGGUGAAAUUCGUAGAUAUCUGGAGGAACACCAGUGGCGAAGGCGGCCCGCUGGGGCUAUUCUGACGCUAAGGUGCGAAAGCGUGGGGAGCAAACGGGAUUAGAUACCCUGGUAGUC
rnacentral:rRNA from 1 species